GGGUGAGUAAUGAAUAGGAACGUACCUAGAGGUGGGGAAUAACCACGGGAAACUGUGGCUAAUACCGCAUAGUGUCGUAAGACUAAAGGAGGCCUCUUCUUGAAAGCUUCCGCCUUUAGAUCGGCCUAUUUCCCAUUAGCUUGUUGGUAGGGUAAAGGCCUACCAAGGCGACGAUGGGUAGCUGGUCUGAGAGGAUGAUCAGCCACACUGGAACUGAGACACGGUCCAGACUCC
rnacentral:rRNA from 1 species